rnacentral:tRNA from 1 species
GUCCCCGUAGCUUAAUAAUUAAAGCAUGGCACUGAAGAUGCCAAGAUGGUUACUACCUACCCGGGGACA